rnacentral:lncRNA from 1 species
AGAGCUGGUUGUUUAAAAGAAUCUGGGAUCCCUCCCUUCUCUCUCUUGCUCCUUCUCUCACCAUGUGAUAUGCUUGCUCCCUUUGGCCUUCUGCAGUGAUUGUAAGCUUCCUGAGGCUUUCACCAGAAACACACGCUGGCACCACGCUUCUUGUAUCGCCUGCAGAGCUGUGAGCCAAAAUAAACCUCUUCUUUAUAAAUUACCCAGCCUCAGGUAUUCCUUUACAGCAACAUAAAAUGGACUAAUAUGUCUGCUAAUUUUUAAAUGUUGGCAUAAUUUAUACGAACCAAACAAAGCAUUCUUUGGGCUGAUUUGGCACACAGGCUGAUAGUUUGCAAACUGUUCUGUACUACGGCUGCUGUCUGUAUUAUCAAGUCCAGAGGGUAAACUUCAGUGACAGGCUAUGGCCAGAAAGGGGCGACAGAGGGUCACAGAACCAAACCAGGCCUAUUAGAUUCAUACUCCCAGCUGCCACUGGGAAAACCUGUCCUGGGUAUGGGGCGCUCCCAAUUAAAUCAAGCCAAAUCAAUAAGUUGGAGGUUGCUGGAUACGAGGCAACAAGUAGAGAGAAAUUAGGGUGAGGGGGAGAUGCCAAGGAAACCAGGUUGUUUCAGAGGACACUGGUGAGCUAAGGGGCCCAAAGAAAACUGUUUUUUCAAAGACGAUCAGAUAUCAAAUAAUAUUCACAAAGGGAGAAAUGAUGAAGUUUCAGGAACAGCACUGAGAAUGAAUGAGCUCUUACAAUGUUUAUGCAAAAGUCAAAAUCUUCAAGCCACCUAUCUUGGCUUCUUAAAAUCACCAGAAUGGGCCCCAGAAAAAAAGGGCCUAAUAGAACAUGUGCCUCUGUGAAUAAUUUAACUAGUGUCACAGCAAGUACAUAUUUUGCUAGCUGAUAAAUUAAUAAAGGAACAAACAAGUUUUGUAGUUUAAGAGUUGGUAUAAAUUAUUGUGCAGAAAUGGCAACUGAAAUGUACAAGAGUCUUCUAUAGUAAUCCAUACUUACUUUACUGUUAUCCCUUAGAUGUUUAAACAUGAAGAUAAAAAUCAAAGCUCUCAGUUUUAUGUUAAUGUUUUUCAAUACUCUCACCUUUAGCUGCAGAAAUAUGGCAUACAUGAAAGAAAAAUGGGGCAAAACCUACUAUGCCACCUUCAGAACCAACCCAUUACAUGUGAAGAACAUUCUUUCAAUAACUUGAGAACCUUCUUGAACCCCAAGUUUCGCUGCCUUGACACUUUGAGAAGGCUGGAGAUGAUUGCUAGCCCAGAGAACAAUGCUCAAAAGUAGGUUCAGCAUGAGGUCAUCAGGAGGAUGUGUUGGGCUGGGUAACUGUAUUUAACUUAGAAGAUGAGCAAGGGCAAGAACACCACCAUGACCACCUCCAAGGUGACUAUAGACGUCCUGUGAGCCAACACAAUGUCUUCUUCAUUCCUAUGUUCCUCAGACACAGCACAGAGCCACACGAACGGAAGCAUAAAAACAACUUACAAUUCUCAAUUUAGAAGAUCUUACUUUAAUGGGAGCUCAUAUUUAUACUCCUCCCAAGACACACACACAAUAGUCUCUGUACAUACCGUUAAAUUUAGUCCUUUUUUCUUUUUCAAAAAGGAAGCAUCUGGAAUGCUUCAAUAACGAAAAAAGUACAUGAUAUGUUAAAUAUGCAGUGCCAAAGAAACACUCGGGAGAAAGUCCAGCAUGCAAUUGGAAAUUCAAGGCUGCUCAUCAGUGGAGUAGCAAGUCUGAAAACAUUUGUCAACUCUGCUUGAUCUUUCCACAUACCUCAUCGGUGAGUUCAGAAAAUUGAGACAAAAUAAUAGGUUGAAAUUUGAGGCAACUGUUCAGGACUCUUUACCUUUUCCUCCUCCUUGCUUGUUAACAGUCUGCUUUACUGUGAUCCCUGUGUCUAACAGAACUUAAAAUCUUAGUUUUGUGUUCUUGACCUGGAUUCUCUCUUUUGGCUCCUUGUUCAGCUCCUUUCUGGUAGCUGAACCUCACCUUUUCUCUUUUCCUAGGCUGGCCCCUUGGGCCCAGAUUUCAACUGAUACUUCUGGCAGAAAAUGCUUGUACCAGUCUACGCCUAACAAUAAAGAACCCAGUUCCCAACUUCGACAUUUGGCUGGUGCUCCGGUGACGCCUGUCCCAAAAGAGAAAAGCCAAAGAAGUAAAUCUGAGUUACCUGAACAGAAAUUAAAAUUUCCCACAUAAAUAAAUCUCAUGAUUUCCAAUUUUCUCUCUUGACUUUAAUUUCUGUGGCUCACUGGCAUUGAGUCUUUUUUUUUUUCUUUACUAUCUGCAUCCUGAGUAUUUCCCAUAUGAUUUGUAAAUGGCUCUAGUAACCUCUAAGUAAACAAAGUGUUCAUUCAUUCAGCCAUUCUUUCACUCAUUUAUUCACUCAUCAAAAAUUAUGAAGUGCCUUGUAUGUGCUAAACAUUGUGUUAGGUGCCAGAAGAUAUAUAGAUAAAUAGAAUAUAUCCUU